UGCUGGAGGUAUCAGAAGUGCGAAUGCUGACAUAAGUAACGAUAAAGCGGGUGAAAAGCCCGCUCGCCGGAAGACCAAGGGUUCCUGUCCAACGUUAAUCGGGGCAGGGUGAGUCGACCCCUAAGGCGAGGCCGAAAGGCGUAGUCGAUGGGAAACAGGUUAAUAUUCCUGUACUUGGUGUUACUGCGAAGGGGGGACGGAGAAGGCUAUGUUAGCCGGGCGACGGUUGUCCCGGUUUAAGCAUGUAGGCUGGUUGUCCAGGCAAAUCCGGAUAAUCAAGGCUGAGGUGUGAUGACGAGGCACUACGGUGCUGAAGUAACAAAUGCCCUGCUUCCAGGAAAAGCCUCUAAGCAUCAGGUAACAUCAAAUCGUACCCCAAACCGACACAGGUGGUCAGGUAGAGAAUACCAAGGCGCUUGAGAGAACUCGGGUGAAGGAACUAGGCAAAAUGGUGCCGUAACUUCGGGAGAAGGCACGCUGAUAUGUAGGUGAAGCGACUUGCUCGUGGAGCUGAAAUCAGUCGAAGAUACCAGCUGGCUGCAACUGUUUAUUAAAAACACAGCACUGUGCAAACACGAAAGUGGACGUAUACGGUGUGACGCCUGCCCGGUGCCGGAAGGUUAAUUGAUGGGGUUAUCCGUAAGGAGAAGCUCUUGAUCGAAGCCCCGGUAAACGGCGGCCGUAACUAUAACGGUCCUAAGGUAGCGAAAUUCCUUGUCGGGUAAGUUCCGACCUGCACGAAUGGCGUAAUGAUGGCCAGGCUGUCUCCACCCGAGACUCAGUGAAAUUGAACUCGCUGUGAAGAUGCAGUGUACCCGCGGCAAGACGGAAAGACCCCGUGAACCUUUACUAUAGCUUGACACUGAACAUUGAGCCUUGAUGUGUAGGAUAGGUGGGAGGCUUUGAAGCGUGGACGCCAGUCUGCGUGGAGCCAACCUUGAAAUACCACCCUUUAAUGUUUGAUGUUCUAACGUUGGCCCCUUACCGGGGUUGCGGACAGUGUCUGGUGGGUAGUUUGACUGGGGCGGUCUCCUCCCAAAGCGUAACGGAGGAGCACGAAGGUUAGCUAAUCCUGGUCGGACAUCAGGAGGUUAGUGCAAUGGCAUAAGCUAGCUUGACUGCGAGCGUGACGGCGCGAGCAGGUGCGAAAGCAGGUCAUAGUGAUCCGGUGGUUCUGAAUGGAAGGGCCAUCGCUCAACGGAUAAAAGGUACUCCGGGGAUAACAGGCUGAUACCGCCCAAGAGUUCAUAUCGACGGCGGUGUUUGGCACCUCGAUGUCGGCUCAUCACAUCCUGGGGCUGAAGUAGGUCCCAAGGGUAUGGCUGUUCGCCAUUUAAAGUGGUACGCGAGCUGGGUUUAGAACGUCGUGAGACAGUUCGGUCCCUAUCUGCCGUGGGCGCUGGAGAAUUGAGGGGGGCUGCUCCUAGUACGAGAGGACCGGAGUGGACGCAUCACUGGUGUUCGGGUUGUCAUGCCAAUGGCACUGCCCGGUAGCUAAAUGCGGAAGAGAUAAGUGCUGAAAGCAUCUAAGCACGAAACUUGCCCCGAGAUGAGUUCUCCCUGACUCCUUGAGAGUCCUGAAGGAACGUUGAAGACGACGACGUUGAUAGGCCGGGUGUGUAAGCGCAGCGAUGCGUUGAGCUAACCGGUACUAAUGAACCGUGAGGCUUAACC
rnacentral:rRNA from 1 species